rnacentral:rRNA from 1 species
GACGAACGCUGGCGGCGUGCUUAACACAUGCAAGUCGAGCGGUAAGGCCCUUUCGGGGGUACACGAGCGGCGAACGGGUGAGUAACACGUGGGCGACCUGCCCUCAGCUCUGGGAUAAGCCUGGGAAACCGGGUCUAAUACCGGAUAUGACUCCAUGACGCAUGUUGUGGGGUGGAAAGCCUUGUGCGGCUGAGGAUGGGCCCGCGGCCUAUCAGCUUGUUGGUGGGGUGAUGGCCUACCAAGGCGACGACGGGUAGCCGGCCUGAGAGGGCGACCGGCCACACUGGGACUGAGACACGGCCCAGACUCCUACGGGAGGCAGCAGUGGGGAAUCUUGCGCAAUGGGCGAAAGCCUGACGCAGCGACGCCGCGUGAGGGAUGACGG